rnacentral:rRNA from 1 species
ACGAACGCUGGCGGCGUGCUUAACACCUGCCAGUCGAACGGAAAGGCCCUGCUUUUGUGGGGUGCUCGAGUGGCGAACGGGUGAGUAACACGUGAGUAACCUGCCCUUGACUUUGGGAUAACUUCAGGAAACUGGGGCUAAUACCGGAUAGGAGCUCCUGCUGCAUGGUGGGGGUUGGAAAGUUUCGGCGGUUGGGGAUGGACUCGCGGCUUAUCAGCUUGUUGGUGGGGUAGUGGCUUACCAAGGCUUUGACGGGGAGCCGGCCUGAGAGGGUGACCGGCCACAUUGGGACUGAGAUACGGCCCAGACUCCUACGGGAGGCAGCAGUGGGGAAUAUUGCACAAUGGGCGGAAGCCUGAUGCAGCAACGCCGCGUGCGGGAUGACGGCCUUCGGGUUGUAAACCGCUUUCGCCUGUGACGAAGCGUGAGUGACGGUAAUGGGUAAAGAAGCACCGGCUAACUACGUG